CGGGGCGAUCGGUGCAAACUCCUUACCAAAAGCCUGAUGUAGGUAAUGUGCAGUGUCCACAACAGAUUGUCUGAUGAAAAUAACGAGCAGAAAUACCUUAAUAGGCUUGUAGCUCAGGUGGUUAGAGCGCACCCCUGAUAAGGGUGAGGUCGGUGGUUCAAGUCCACUCAGGCCUACCAAAUUCUUUCCCAUGCUGCGUUGUGAAAUGACUCGCAUACUAGAGUAUGCUUCGCCAUUCCACGCCUUGCCUGGAAACGAAUUAACUCUUCUAUGAGUGGUACUAAAGGUAGCUGUAAGUGUCAGUAAUGGGGCUAUAGCUCAUUUGGGAGAGCGCCUGCUUUGCACGCAUGAGGUCUGCGGUUCGAUCCCGCAUAGCUCCACCAUACAAAGACUUCAGAGCGUAUUGGGAACAGUAUGCUGUGAAGUAUUAUGCUCUUUAACAAUCUGGAACAAGCUGAAAUUUGAAACGAUGCGGCUAAACAUAUUUCUCCGUGUAGUACUGAGAUGUGAUUUGGCUGUAUCAGAGUCUCUCAAAUAAUCGCAGCGCGAGAUGUCGAAAGACACCUUCGGGUUGUGAGGUUAAGCGACUAAGCGUACACGGUGGAUGCCUUGGCAUG
rnacentral:misc_RNA from 1 species